GUUUCCAAGGAGCGUUGCGACAGGCAUCGGCCUGCCAGGCUUGGAAAUCUUCACCGCGCGGCAUUCGCCCCGCCGGCGCCGGGUCUGC
rnacentral:ncRNA from 2 species